GUUUUAACAUGAAUUUGGCUUGUUAUUGAUUUUCAUGUGUUUAUUUUAAAUAUGUAUAUUAAACAAAUUAUUAUUAUUAACUUUCUUUGUAUGCUUUGUGUACAUAUGUGUGUUUGUUCUUGUAAGACAUUUUGCAAUACAUAUAUCUAUGAAAAUUGACUCUCACUUCAUCAUAGAGAAAAGUUGUAUAAAUAUACAGGGUGUGUCCGAUAGGAUAUCAUUCACUUAAAGGCUUAUAACAAGAUAUUUCAUGUGUGUAUCAGAGUGCAAUUGAUAUAUAUUAAGCAAAAUAUAGUAUGACUAUGCUUUUCAUUAGUCUUGAUUACACUCUGGGUCUCAUUGAUGGUGCCUCUAGAUGUUUCGCCAUAAUAUCUAAACAAAUGAGGUUUAAAAGUAGUUAUUAUUUAUUAACUAUAAAACGCAUUGAAUGUUUAUUUUAUGUUGGAAUUAUGCUCUUGCCUCAUAUUAUGUUUGAUCGUCAAUCCAAGAGUAUUUUCUCGAAUGGAUGAUCCAUCAUAUCUAAUGAUAAUUACUAACAGUGAAGUGAUUAGCUCUUCUUUUAUUCAAAUUGUUGCCUUGUUUGUUUAUUUUUGUUUUUCUUAUUGUACAAAUUUUAUUACCUAUUUUGUCUUUAGUUGGGAUUCAUUAUAUAGUGAGACUUUGUUGAUGUAUUCAUUGACAUUUUGGGGCAUGAUUCCAUCAUUUUUUGAACAGAAAUCAACCAUUUAAUGUGUUUUAUAGUAAUACACAGAACAUAUUUUGAUUUAAAAAUUCAAAGGGAAUAUCUAUUUUAAUCAUAAAUGACGUACUAAUCUAAUUUAUUCGUAUAUUUAGUGCGAAAGACGGAAUCUUUCAUUUUCCCAUAUGAGUAGAAUAAUAAAGAGAGUAAAGUAAGGGCUAAAAUAUAUUGUGUUGAUACAUUUUUAAAUGUCAAACUACAAAUUUCAGCAAUGAUGGGUCUUCCUCACAUUUUUGUAUCACAAAUUUUAAACUCAAAACUGAUUACUUACCAGAGAUAUCAUUGAAUGUGUUUAUUUCCAAAGAAUGACAAAAAUACAAAAUAAUAAUUUCAUGGUCUAUGCCUCCAUGGUGCCUCAUGAGUUAUAGUCCAACUUCGAUAAUUGAUAAUUAUUUUUUUGCAACCUUUUCAACCUUUCCCCUUUAAAUUUGUUGUCAAGAGGUGUUAUGGAGAUCUUACAAAAAGUUUUGUAGAAAAAUCCUCAUGGUCAACUUUUCUGAUUGUGCACUUGAUCACAUUCAAAUCAGUGGAUAUGUCUCAUCAUGCUGAUGUGGGAUAACUAUUGAUAUUGGCCUCCAGGCUAUUAAUGAACAGUGGACUUGCUAGCCCCUUUUUGGAGGGGCUCGAGCUCCCUCAAAAGUUUCUGAAGCCUCCUAAAUUUGUAUCGUAUAUAUAAUUAUUUAUAUAAAAAUUAACCUUUUUAUAUAAAUAAUGAUAUAUUGGCGUUGAUAAUUUUUGGGGCUAAGAUCCCCUCCCUCCCUCCCUCAAAUGACAAAAGCCCCUGCUUAUGAAGUUAUUACUUUGCUGUUUCCUUUUAUACACAUUACUUCUUUGGACCUUUUCAGUUACUAAUACAGGGAUUUUGGCAUGUGCGACCCUGCUUUGUUUAUUGUUCAUUUAUUGCCAGAUUUUGGUCAACUUUGAGGAAACAACAUUUUUAUUACUCUUUGUAAAUACAGAAUAUAAAACAGAUCUAAAUGUAGGGUUGUCAACCUUCCCCUGAAGAACGGAAUCGUCCUAUAUUUUGAAAUUAAGCACCCGUCGCGUAUUGAGUUGAAACGGGACGCACUUUGUCCUGUAAUACUCUGAACUUCAAAAAAUUGUCGUGAACGCUUUCUCAGGCUAUUUCCUAAUAUGCUGUCAUUCAGCUGACACUUGUACAAUGACCAUAUAACACGCCGCUCAUGCCAUUGUCCGAGGAAUACUGUUGUACUCACAGAAGUUAGUUGGAAAAAACAAAGCAACAUGGCUUACAAUGACUCAGACGCUUGCACUGCUCAACGCCGGUGUCCAGCUUCAAACAGCUAUUCAAUUCGCACUCCUCUGAUUUUUUUUUUUUUUUUUUGAAAAGGAUGCAAAAAUACUGGGAGGAAUGGGAGAAAGCUAACACCUGGGUAGAAAGUUGUGUGAAUGCAUCUUAGGCAGAGGGGUCCACAGGACUAUAUUUUGGGGAGGGCUUGGUUUUAGGAGUUUAGUUGAAGAAUAAAAAUUAAAAAUUCAUAGCCAUUAAGAAAAAA
rnacentral:lncRNA from 1 species